CUGUGCUCUUCCUCCUCUCCCUGUCUCUCUCUCUCUCUCUUCUUCCCUCACUAUAUAUAUAUAUAUAUAUCUCUCUCUCUCCCUCACGACGCGCACACUUUACUUCACUCGUACUCUCUCGGCGAGUACAACGCGCACCCUCGCCACGGCGGAUGCCGAGAAGCGCGAGCGACUGUACGGGGCCCCUCUUGGGUGUGCUCGAGGCGGCGACGAGACGGCUGUGGCGACGGCAGCGACGGCAGCGACGACCGCGACGACGACAACGACUGUGCGUCGUACUGCGUACCGCGUAUCGUGUCACGGACGCGGAAGAUACUCGCGUUCGGGCCGGGCCUCAGCACGCACUCAGGGAUAUUCGCCCAUUUGUGACAGAUUUCCCGUCCGAGAUACACCGCGUUAACGACCGACCGACCGUCCCCCACCUACCGUCGCCACAUACAGACAUCACGGCACUUCGAUUUUUCAAGAUGGCGGCGCGCCGCCAUAGCGCCGCCAGGGGCGCGCAUGCGCCGCGGGCCGGAGGUGUAAAUAGAGCGCGAAGAGCGCGAGGUGUAAUAAAAGGUGCGCUUCGCUCGACGUUAUUUUCGCUUCGGGAUGAGACUCCGCGCCCCGAUCGGUUCUCUAGACGUCGAUUCGAAUGAAAGUAGCGUUAAACGGAAUGCAUCCGAGCGAUGUUUUAGAAACAUAACCUAAGAGAUGCACACGCGCAGUGGAGUAAAAACAUGUCUAAAAAUUGAAAUACAAAGUUAUUUACAAAGUUUGCGUUUGUAUCCAAGUUAAUUAAUCGUUUAUCUGUUUAUAAUGUUAUUGAAAUAUAACCUAUUAUAUGCGUCGGUGCGUUUUCUAUUCACCUGGACAUUUUUUAACUUUGAUGUGUUAAAUUCGAAAAAUCGCAUAAUUUCGAAAUCGUGUAAAUUAUAAAGUUAUUAAGUAUUCGAAAGCCCUAACUUAUCGUAAUAUAUAGUCAUUGUAUAAUCUAUUUUGAAAAUUAAUUAGCGAGUAAGGUAUGGAGACUGUUGUAUAGUGUACAUCUAAAUUUGAAGCAAUAAAACGACAAAUUUAUUCCCUGUGAAA